UACGGAGGGGGCAAGCGUUAUUCGGAAUUACUGGGCGUAAAGCGCACGUAGGCGGAUCGAUCAGUCAGGGGUGAAAUCCCAGAGCUCAACUCUGGAACUGCCUUUGAUACUGUCGGUCUAGAGUAUGGAAGAGGUGAGUGGAAUUCCGAGUGUAGAGGUGAAAUUCGUAGAUAUUCGGAGGAACACCAGUGGCGAAGGCGGCUCACUGGUCCAUUACUGACGCUGAGGUGCGAAAGCGUGGGGAGCAAACAGG
rnacentral:rRNA from 1 species